CUCUCACACACUCGAGCUCACUCUCUCGUCCCCCCUCUCACCCGCCCCUUCUCGCUCUCCUCCAGAUCCCCGUCGUCGCCGGCCUCUCCUCGCCGCCGUCACCGCCCUCUCCUCGACUCCCUUUCUCUUCACCACCACGCACCCCGUUUCCUCCUACCGCGCACCCCGUACCGUAGGUCAAAAGCUUGAUUUUUUAGGCGCCGGCGACGAGCUUCUGGGCGGCGGAGGCUGGAUCCGCGUGCGUCCACGCCGGCUUCGCAGCGGCGCUUGAUGUGGAGCGGCGCUGGAGCAGCGGAGCGGGGCUUUCUUCCUCACCUCACAGCGCCGUCCUCCUCCACGACCACGCAGCCGCAGCGGCGGAGGAGCCGAAUCCCUAGCCAGCGAGCUCAGGGAGCCAUGGGUCCAUGGGGCGACGCCAUGGAAGGGCCACCAAAUACAGCAGCGAGGAGAGGAGAAAGGGAGUAGCCUGAUGACGGUCGUCUUCCACCUCCGCCUACGCCCCCGCCCUCCACCUCCACCCACGCCCCCGCCGGAAAUAGUACAAUGGCCAAGGAAAUAGGCAGGAGGCGCCGCUUCCCGGAUGGACAUGGACAUGCUUCUCCAACUCUGCUUCUUCCUGGGUCGCCAUGGAAG
rnacentral:rRNA from 1 species